GUGCAGCAGGCGAGAAACCUUCGCAAUGCAGGAAACUGCGACGAGGGAACUCCAAGUGCCUACGCUCAGCGUAGGCUGUUCUCAAGCCUAGAAAGCUUGAGGAGUAAGGGCUGGGUAAGACGGGUGCCAUCUGUGGUAGCAGUCAAUAGAUUCGAUUUGUUACUGCAAGGCAUAAGCCGCCGCGGUAAUACCCGCAGCCCAAGUGGUGGCCGCUUUUAUUGGGCCAAAAGCGUCCGUAGCCGGCCCGGUAAAUGCCUGGGGUAAAUCGUGGAGCCCAACUUCACGAAUUCCGGGUAGACUGCCGAGCUCGGGACCGGAAGAGGGAGAGGGUACUUCAGGGGUAGGGUGGAAAUUUCCUUCCAUUAACGCUUUGCGCGAAGCGGAAAGGGUUAUC
rnacentral:rRNA from 1 species